CUAGUACGGAGUUUAGAAAUGACACUUUCUUCUCCAAAUAUCCCACCUGAAAUUCUUGCUACACUUCUUAACUUGGAUGGUGAUGCUGAAUAUUCACUGCUUGUAAACUUGAUUAGGUUGAAUGAUCUUCAAUUGUCAAGGCGAAUUUCCAUCGAAAUCUUGCAUAAUGAUCUUGCACAGACUGCCUCCAAGGCUUAGCUCGAGUGGAAAAAGGGGAUGGAUUUGAGCCCGAUAUUUAAGUGGAGAAGGGUAGAGGAACGGGUCCAUUAUCCAUUGAGUUUAGAAGGCUAUGAUUGGUCCAAAGGGUGGGCCACAGGCGGAUUUCUCGGUUAUCAAAAAAAAAAAGA